UGCCUCUGCACAGAAAGGGGAAGGAAAAAAAAGAAAUCUGAAGAAAAAAUCCCUGAAACACAGAAGAUGGGUCAAAUACUCUUCAUAGAAAGAGGAACUUGAAGUACUUGUGCCAGCAGGCUGCAAGCAGAACAGCUUACAGCAAGGACUACAUCUCCUUCAGCUUUCUCACUUUCUCACUUCAGCAUAAAUAGGAGGACAUCCUUCAGAAUGGCACAAAUCAACUUGAAAAGGGGUGUAGUGUCACAGUGCUUUUGGAAAACAUCUACAGAGACUCAUACAGUUGUUCCCCAGGGGAAGUGUAAGCACUGGCUGGCCAACAAUCUUGUUUACCCUCUCACAAGAGCUGAUCAUCCUGCACUCCAAAACCUGCAAAGUGAGAGCCAUCAGGCUGGACAGGACAGCACAAUGUGAUUCUCCCCAGUUCUGAUAGGGCACCACAAACACAAAGCAGGAGGCUGUUUGUGCCUAGCUGUCAGCAGCUCCAGCUUAGAGACUCCUGCCCGUUAGUACUCAAAACUAGUUUGGAUAUGAUGCAAUAAGGACAGCUGGGAGCCUGCCCUUUGCAGGCAGUUGUAUCACAGCUCAAGAACUUGCUCAAGAGGAAACUUGGCAAGCCCAUUCCUAUCCCAGUCAGCCUCUAAGUGCACCCUGUCAUCAGCUGACCAAGUCAUGGCCUGCUCACAUGACCAGUUUCAGCAGAAGUCACCCAGGAAGCAGAAAGGCAUUGUCAAUUUCCUAUUUCAGCUGAGAAAUUUUUUGUCAGGUACCUAUUUUCAGCCCACGUAGCAGGACUUAGUAAUAGUUCCUGGAGCUCCAAACUUACAGAAGAAUUGUCAAGAUCCUGCUUUCCACAAAUGGCACAGCCCUGAGCCUCAUCAGAACAAAGCUGCUUGUGAACAUGCAACGUUCCCAGUGUAGGAUGGAAAUGCCUCUGCAAACUGCUUGAGGCAGGUAAGGACUGGAGAGCUUCACAAAAUCUCUCAAUCCAAUCUGAUGUGAUUUCCUCAGAGCCUGGAGUGGCUGCACUACUACACCUGGCCUUCACAUUGUGGCAGCAUUCUAAGUUCAACAGGAGAUACAGUAUGAAGGCUGAAUCAGCCCCCAAGAGGAAAAUGACAGAAGAGAGAUGCUCUGCUACGUUGCAGAAGAUGACAGGACUAGCACAGCUCACUCCACAAAUAUGUGGGUCAUCUACUUGUCUAUUUCCAGCAGGAGACAGGGAUAUAAAGAAGUAACAGCAUCACUCUAACAAGCUCUUGUCUAUGCACUGCUGUUUUUGGGACUGGAAACUGAAGAGGUUCUUAUUUGCACCUCACUUUUGGAAGUCUCAAGUCCUGGGACAUAAGGAGCUCCUGCAGGCAUCGUGUUAUCACACUGACAAGUGAUACAGGUCUACAGUCCAACCCCCCUGCUCUCAUGAUAUCUUCUCUCCCCAGCAGGCACCAGUCAGCUCUCUACACUCAUCCCUUUGUAUUAAACAGUACAGGUUGCUUUUCUCUGAAAAAGAUUUCCUUACAUGCAGAGAAUGAAACACAGAACAUGCAUGUUUUUUUUUCCUUUCAUUGCCUCUCUUGCAACUUCAUUCAAAAACUGAAGUAAAAUAACAUACGCUUACCUUGAGUAUUUCUUUCAGUUCCUCCAUAGUUUGUUUGUUGGCUACUUCAUCGUGAACUGUUUGACCACAGUUUUUAACCACAGACUCCAUAACCUGCAAGUGCAAAGGGCAGCAUUAGCCUGUUGCUUUCUUCCUUCUCUGUGGUUUGCAGUGAAAGAACAAAAAAGCUGUGUUUCAGUUAUGGGUUCUUGCAGCAGGUGCACAAAGGGGGCACUAUUUAAGUAACAAUUCAAGCUAAGGAAGCAUCAAUUUGGAGAAAUCCACACCAUGAGACUGGAGCAUAAGCUAUGCUUCAGUUUAUACCAUUGCUAUUUAUACCACAUGGGCAAGCAGACAGUUUUAUAAAGAUAGUCUCUCAAAUGCUUGCUCCAAGGCUGAAUGAAAAACACAAUCAUUCUUGAAGCCUCCAUGCUAGAGCAGAGGCAGGCUUGGAAGAGAUGGGAAGUUCCCUGGCUUGUGAAUUGGGCCCCUAAAUCAUGAGAGGUUUGGGCUGAAGUUACCUCCAGUGCGUAGAGUGCCACGUGGGGAUUCUUGUCAUUGACCUU